GAGAGAUGGGCAUCGAACCCAUAUUUGAGAAAUCAAAAUUCUCAGUAAUCC
rnacentral:tRNA from 1 species